UACGUAGGUGACAAGCGUUAUCCGGAAUUACUGGGCGUAAAGCGCACGCAGGCGGCCGAGUAAGUCUGACGUGAAAUCUCCCGGCUUAACCGGGAGCGGUCGUUGGAAACUACUUGGCUUGAGGCGAUGAGAGGGGUGUGGAAUUCCCGGUGUAGAGGUGAAAUUCGUAGAUAUCGGGAGGAACACCAGUGGCGAAGGCGGAGACCUGGGCCAAUACUGACGCUGAGGUGCGAAAGCGUGGGGAGCAAACAGG
rnacentral:rRNA from 1 species